rnacentral:lncRNA from 1 species
UGAACCUUUGAUCCCUCCAACACCCAGUGCCACCAGAUAGAGACCUGCAAAGAACAUUGCUUCCUUCUCGCCACUCACUUCUGCACAAGAGAUACUCGUGUUUGUGGCACAUGCUGGUGGUCUCAACGAGGCAAUACCAGCCUGCACUGUAAGUACUGACAGACCCUGUUACAUAUGCCAGAAAACAUGUUAGUUUUAGUUGAAGCCUUUGAUGCCUAGUGUGUCAAUUAAAACAAAAGUUUAUGCAACUGUAAAUUUGUGUACGCUACUAGUUCUCAAGCAGUAGUGCACCCGAAGGCAUUGGCAUAUUUACAGGCGGACCAUACUACAGAUGGGAACAUACUCAAGUGCACAAAAAUUCCUUGGAUGUCACUUUUCACUGGAUGUGUGUCUUAAAUUUCAUCGAUCAUUCCUUUCAUUGGCUUGUUUCUUAGUGCCCUGGCUACUGGGGAAUUCAUCUACUUGUUAAACAUGCUGAAUGUUUAUGUAGAUGGGGUGAUAGUUCAUUUUUCCAGUGGGCCGGAUUGGCGAAAGGAAACAACGACUUGACACGAUUUGUGCGGUUAUGAUUCAAGCACUUCCGUGGGCCAUGAGACCUUUCAAAGAUCUCAGAGGUAAGUUUGUUAAUGUUGUGGUCCAUAAAUAGAUAGUAUUUUUGCAUUCGUCUGAAGAACCCCUACCCUUGUGCAAUGUUCAACAGCACAUGGUAUUUAUUUCAUGUUUCUACUUCAGAUAAAUAACUGUAGGCAUUUUGUAAUGUACUGAUAUUGUCAGAUAAAUGUUAUGCAACACCGAGGAUACAAAAGUUAGGAAUUUAUGGGCAUUUUUAGUUGUGUAAUCAAUCACUGAAUGGGAAAGGUACAUAUCAAACAAUAGCAAUAAAACACAAAUAGGCAAGUCAAGUAUCUUACCAAGAAUUCUAUUAGUGCACUUAUCAUAUAAAUGCAGUAGGUAUUGAGAAAGGCAUCCGCUAGGAAUCCACCAGCCAAAGCUAGGAGGAAGGAUGUGCCCAUGAAAUUGGUCACAAUAUUCGCCGAGGCGGAUGGAGAGAAAUGCAGGAACCUUGAUAGGUAGAGCACAAGGUUACUUGCAUUAGCCAGGAAUGCUAGGUUUUCUAGUACCUCCACAGCUGUGGUUUGCAUGAUAAUAAAACUGGAUUAGUGGAUGUGAAACAUCUUGCAUCUAACUGCAUGCCAAAAUCAAGUUAUGCCAUUGUUAUGGGUAUCUACUGUAUUCUAUAUGUUCGACCAUAAAGAUGACUAGGUGACAAUGUGGGAAUUGAAAUAUUCAUGACACCCCCUUUUGCAACAAAUCUUAGGCUUCAAUAUCAGCUAUUACAAGAAAAAGCGAUGACGGAAUGCUUAGCGGUGCUUUGAGCUUACCCAAUACAAAGGAAGCUGCUAGCAUUCCCCCAUGACGACCUCUCACAGCAGGUCUACUCCUCCAGUCAACAUAGCCUUUCCAGGUAUCCAAGAUGCGUGCUUCAUCCUGCAGUCAUUCCUUAGUAUAGUUAGCCUGCCAUUAAAGACCGAGAGAAACAUUGAAAUCAUAGUAGAAAAGUAAGCUUACCAUAUCUUAUCUUCACUCACUAAUCAUUAACAACUCUAUGUCUAAUGUAGGUUCUCUAUUUUAUUGAUUCUGAUUGUUGUGGUGGUUAGAGUUCAUGCAUUCAUAUAUAUAUAGGCAGGGAACUGUGGUCCUUCUAAACUAUGGAGAAAGGUCUAGAUGACAUGAAAAAUGACCAUACAUUCUUUCUUCUAUGGGUGAAAUGCUGACUUUUCCAGUUAGUGACAGUGGACGGGGUGGUUCUAUCUGGAUCAGUUACCUAUCACUCUCUGAACUUAGAAAAAAAUGUUAAGAGAGAGACUCUUCCUCCAAAAUGCACUAGAAAAUGUCGUUACACCUUUUUUGAUUUGGUGAGCAUACUUAUGCAGGUUAAGUGGUGGAGAGCAAGGAAACAGUACAUCACUAGAAUAGUGGUUUCUGGACUUGUAUUUCAUAUUAGGAAGACCAUUUUCUAAGUACUGCUUAAAUGAUAACUGAUAAGACCUUAAAUAAGUUGUUUGUUGUGAUAAUUAAUUAAUUAUUUUGAUCGCCAUUGAUAAAAGUAUUAUUGUGAGGUUGAAAAGGGAGCUCCAUAUAUCAUUCACAGCCAUGCUGGUGAUUAUGUUGUCUUUGACUUAGCUAUUCAACCGUGUGCCACUGACGAUACUCCCUGCCAAAUCACCCCACCUAAUAGUGAUAAACACCUUUGUGUGGAUAAUGCAUUGCCAUUAAAAAUGCAUUUUUUUCCCCUUAAAUGCGGUUAUCAGUGAAGAACUGCCACUAAUAGGGAAGUUUUGGCUAGGAUAAAUUUCUAUUUAAGCCACUUUGCAUAAGAUCAAGGCCAUUGAACCUUUCAAUAUCUUCUAUGUUCUAGUGGGCCGUGUGUCGUUAUUUUACCAACUUGGUGGGGAAUUUAUUCCAGCUACUGGUUCUGGUUUUAGUAGAUGAAAUACUAGAGGCAUCUGAGUAGUAGUGGACUGGCCUCCUUCAUAUCCAGAUCUUCUUUCUGGCCCACCCGUAAAUAUUUGUUCCCGCAUCAUAGGAAUUUGUGGAUCAGAUUCUCAUGGAUGCAUGAUCAGAGAGGUCUCCAAAUUCAGUGGCUCUAGGGGUCAACAACUUGAUGGGUCCUACGUACUCUUCCAAUACCAGCAUUUCAUUAGCUUCUCAUCUACAGCCAUCUAAGUACAGGUUUUCUCGGUUACUCUAUUUUUUUCAAGCCGGAUGAGAUAUAAAAGAUCAUGUCCAGCUAAACUCCUUUUGCUUUCUUAUUGAAGCAUUAUAUAAGACAAGUUAUAAUUAUACCAAGAUCAAGUUGCUUGUUAUUUUAUUUGAAGGUAGUUUGUGUUAAUUAGGAUAGUCGGAUAGGUUAUUAAAUAAAACAGCUAUUGUGGGUGCAUGAUGAGUAUUAACGGUAUGGCAAAAUUCGUGCCUUCAGGUUCCUUGUACAUAAACCAUUAUAUAAAUCAGACUUUAAAUUUCUCUCAUUUCUAUUAUUCUUAUCUUAGAAUAAAUUUGAUCAUGAGAACAUUGCUCAAGUCUUAGUUCUCUGAACACUGUUUUCCUUUAUGAUGUAAAGUUAUGAUGGGGAAUGUUAUUCCUGCAUAUUUGAUUUGGAAGAUUCUGAUUCAUGUUCUUUUGGAAUGUUUCUGUGUGUCUCUUGUGUGUAGAGAUGUCUUGGUCCAUCCAAGAAUGUUCGCCAGAUAGAUCUUAAGAGUUCAGGUCAGUACUGCCCUGAUGGAUAUACACUUGUUUGAUGAAUUGUACUACACAGAGCUCCAAAUUGUAGAGUAGAUUAAUGUUUUAUUAGUACUAAUUGAUAAACAUUGAAAAGAAAAAGGAAGCACUACUCUAGAAGUCACAAAGACUUGACACUAAUGUUAUCCGAAUAUUUUGCCUUAAUUCCACUACUCUUUCACCUUAGGAUGGAAUUGAUGAAGAAACAGUGUUUUGCGUAUGCUUAUGCUCAUGCUCUUCUUGGCCAACUCUGCACAUGCAUAUGCUGCUCUUGCCAUAUGACUUUCUCUAAUAACCAACAGUAGUUGGUAGUAAGACAGUAAGCAAGUUUUUGCAUACACAGAGGCUACCACCGCCCAUAAAAGAAAAGGACCUGUAAUUUGCCUCAUGAGUGGGAAUGGUAUUCACUUGUUUUUGUUUCUUCUGCAUAUGAAGGUGGUGGUGGUGGUGGUUUGUCUUUCCAAGAUGUAACGUCGCUUGUGAGGGUUCUAGAAAGCAUCAUUGUCGUCUCCUUGACGUAUACAGUGAGUGAUGAGAAUUGACCUGACAGAUUCCCUCUUGGGUUGGACAGUCUGUCACGUUCAAAACAUUUAAUGGUGUGGGGAGCAUCUAUCAAAAUUGGGUACAAAACCAGGUGUGGUUACCUCAAGUGCUAGUACCAGAUAUCAUCCAGACACUUCCUUUGGCAAUGGAAGGAAGGGCGGCGCAGAACAUGGGUAGGGGGCCAAGGUUUUGAAGAAACGAUGUUGUAUGUGAGAAAUGCCAAUCCAACGUUACUGUUUCAUGAAUCCAUUGAGAGCGGAGCGCAUGUGCAAGCAUUGGUUGCAGAUGAGAACCAGGUCAAUUACAGGAGUGCAACUUUGAACCAUACUGAUCUCUUACUUUUUCAUCAAUCCAUAUUAAGAGCGCAUGUGCAAGUGCAAACAUUGGUUGUAGGUCAAUUACAAACAAGAGUGCAACUUUGAACCAGAUUUUUGCAUGUACUAAACGUGAUUAAAUUGAAAAGGAAGGAAUCGAGUGCAUGUUAACGUUUUCACUUUCAUCAAUGGCUAGAUUUUUGCAUUGCUCAGGACGCAAGACUUGUCCUUGAGGCGUGG